UCGAAAUAUUAAAUUCAAACUUAAUAUUUUCAGUAUUUAUCUAACUAAUUACGAAAUAAAUAUUUUUCAUGACUCGUUAUCGAUAUAGAUAACACGAUUUACAGGAUUUCUUGUCUUUCCACUUUCUCCACAGUUCAAAGGUGAUGGUGGUUGGUCAUCCAACCGAGUAUUAGCUGUUAGAUGAUCGGAGAAUAAAUCAUUUAUGAUAUUAUUCAACCUAAAAUAUAUCUUUAGCGUUUUCCUAUUUAUACAAUAACAUAAUAAAUAUAUAAUUGUGAAAAAUGCGAAUACGAUCGAAAUUUAUUAUUCGGUGAAGAAUUUUCGAAAGGUUCAAAUAGGAUCGUGCUCGAGCAUAAGAAAAUUGAUCUAAAAGACAAGCCUAUGGCGUUGGUCUGAUUAUGAAUCCUGCAAGUUUUAAGGAAAAGUCGUAAAACUGAGAUGGCGGGAAAUAAGGCCAUCGGUGCAGUCACCCUUGCAAAUCCUAUGAUUCAAAAAAAAAAAAAAAUUGGAAAUUUUAA